CCGCCAGAAAGGGCGGCCCGGCCCUGCUUCUCCCCCGCCCCCCUACGCGUGAGCGCCGUCCUGCGCGGCCACAAGGGCUUCGCCCUCGGGCUGGCAGGAGCAGAGCCCGCAGGGCCGGGACGGCCGCGCCGGCUUUGGCCCAGGCCCCGGUGGCCUCCACAGGGAUAACCAGCUCGUAACCUGCUCCCGGAGAGAUACUAACUUUUUUCCAAAACAACCGCCUAAAAUUGUCUUUUCCAAGAUCGGUGAAGAUAAAGCUGGUCGAUAGAGAAAGAGAUUUAGAAUUUGGGGGCCUGAAUGUCACUGACUGCUCAAGGGUUGUAACAGAUGAAAAUUCAAAUGUGGUCUUUUACCUGGAGUCAUCCUGACUAUGAGACUCAGAACCAUGGAAAAUGAGUCUGCUCAAAGAACGAAGCUUUUUAUUCCAACAUCUGGAAAUCUAUUUGAGGAUGCGUACCUCUGGAGGGAUUCUGCAACGUGGGGAAAGGUCUGGAAGCCUUUCCUCACCAUCUUUUGGACCCAAUUCACCCCUUCAAACUGGAUAGAAGACAAUUUAAUUCCUGCAAGGUUGAGCAGAGGUGGGAAACAGCCACCUAUAAAGGAAAGAUCAACAGAAUUAAGCCAUUUUACAUUUUGUUUUGUAACAGCUGAUCAGUUAAUGCAUAACUGCACAUUAGAAAAGUCACAUACUAGCCUCUUGUCUGAUUUGCAGUACGGAGGGUAAGGUUCAAAGGAACAUGGGUCUAUUGCGGGUGGAGCAAUAGUGGAGAAAGAGGGAGGCAUUAGAGAUAAAAAAGAAUAAAUCCAUAAUAAACUAGAAAUCACUACUUCUGCCUUUAACAUGGAAAUUUGCAUGCUUAUUAUGGUUUCUGAAUCCUUGUCUUCUUUUCAAAUAAGAGAUUGUGACCACUCAAAUGAUCAACUUAAAGUAAAAUCCAAUCAAGAAAAUUGUCAGUUGUAGAUUAUCAAAAAGCAUAUGCACUUUGAA